UACGGGGGGGGCAAGCGUUGUUCGGAAUUACUGGGCGUAAAGGGUUCGUAGGCGGCCAACUAAGUCAGACGUGAAAUCCCUCGGCUUAACCGGGGAACUGCGUCUGAUACUGGAUGGCUUGAAUCCGGGAGAGGGAUGCGGAAUUCCAGGUGUAGCGGUGAAAUGCGUAGAUAUCUGGAGGAACACCGGUGGCGAAGGCGGGUCUCUGGACAGUUCCUGACGCUGAGGCACGAAGGUCAGGGGAGCAAACGGG
rnacentral:rRNA from 1 species